UUUUUCUCUCCCCUCUCUCUUCCCCCAAUGCCAUUCUGCUUCUCUCCCUCGAUCUCUACUCUUCACGCCUCCACACUGCAAGCCGCUAUCGACCCACCAUCAUCAUCCACCUCCAUCAUUGCCGACCAACCCAACCAAUCUGCUCUCUCUCUGACUUCUCUCUCUCCACAAGAUCUCCCUCUCUCUUCACCCUCGAAGUCCUUUCUCUCUCGGGUUUCCUUUGCCACCGAGUCCUCAGCCACUGCACCACCUCUGGCUACAGGCAUAGCUAGCCCCCAAAGGUCCACAGCCCCUCCAGAAGCUCUCCCUCUCUCUCACCAUCGAUCUGCUCUCUCCCAAACGGAUCUCACUCAAGCGCCUCGUACAAGCCCUGCACAGCCUUCCUCCAUGGCGCAGCACCACCGCAAGUCAGCCCUCCAUGGCCACAAUGCCACCCCCAUGCCUCACCGCCUCCCCUUCAACAUCAUAAGCCAACCCAGAACAGACUGGUCUACUUCUAUCAGAAUCCAUCGAUCACCUUGUGAAAUUCUUGCACUUGAUUAGGAAAGCAGAGAAGUUAAAGAAACCUAUUCGAAAUGCUCACACCAACCAUGCACCAAAAGUA